GGUUUUUAGUUUGAUAUAAUUUCCCUUGCUUAUUUUUGCUUUUGUUCCCUGUGUUUUUGAGGUCUUACUCAUUAAAUCUUUCCCUAGAUGUAUGCCCUGACGUGUUUCCCCUAUGUUUUCUUCUAGUGUUUUAUAGUUUCGGGUUUUACAUUUAGGUUAGAUGUUCUCAUAUAAAAUGCCUUCUCUUUUUUGUCUUAGGCACCCUGUGGUAAAUUAGUGUAUAUUCAUUCAUUAAUUUGAUUCCUAAUCUUACUGAUUUUAAAACAAUUCCACAUAUAGCAACUUGGCAUAAGGAGGAUAAAGCUAGUUUGUUUUAGAUAUCCUCAGCACUGCCCCAUAUUGCUGCAUUAUAGUGCAUGCAUGGAUUGCUCACAGUGCUGCAGAGAGCACAGGAAACACAUGUUUACAGGUUCUCAGAAAACAUAAAGUCUAUUCUCCAUAGAUACUGCUUAGCUGAUAGUCAUCAACAGGAAAAUUGCUCUCAUUCCUUGAUGCUUUUUUCUUCACAAUGUAUUUUCACAUCCAUGAGUGUGUCCUACCCUAAUAAUAUUUCUGGGAAGUGAGCAGAAUAGAAAUUAUUUAUCUGCGUUUGACAAAUGUAUACAAUGAAAUACUGUGGAAGCUGUCUCUGAACUUUAUGAGAUGAUCCCUGGUUUUCACUGGUUCUUUUCUUGACUCUCAUGUACCUCAUAUACGUUGUCCCAGGGGACUACUAUUUAGGGACUUGGUAACGAGUCUUUCCCAAACAGAUUCUCAAACAGGUAAGAAUAUGUGGAUCAGGAGCCAUUGUGAUUUGUAUUCCCCAUGAGAUCGUGCAGUAUACAGCCUGCACAAGGGUAUGUGACAAUCCCGUGUGAAUGUUGGGGAAAAGGUAAGGAAGGGUUGCAACAUGAAACCAGGAUUGUUUCUGGGGAGCUUAAGGGCCUGUCUCAGCCACCUGCCACUUGUAACCAGGUUUGAUUUGAUGAAGAUGAGCCCCCAGCUGGCCCAGGUCAGUGGAACAGGGGCAUCAACCUCAGCAGCAGCAGGUGGCCGUGUAGCAGCAAGGAGGAAUGGCAGAAGAAGCCUGCAGGAAUCUCCAUUGGGAGGGUGCAGGGAUUCAGGCUGAACUGAAUUUCUCAUUCCUCAGCACCUGCCAACUCCAUGCUGGCCCCCAGGCAGCAGGGGCUGGUGUGCUAAAGAACUGAGCCUUCUCACCAAUAGCAGUGAGGGCCUGAGACCACCUGUCAAUAGUCACAUGAAUAAAACAACUUGGAAGCAGAUCCUCCAGCUUCAGUCAUGCCUUCAGAUGAUCGCAGCCCUGAAGAUGCUGACAUCUUAGCUGCAACCUCAUGAGAGACCCUGGGCCCAACCACUCAGCUAAGUUGCUCAUGAAUUACUCACUCACAGAAUUAUAAAAUAAAUGUUUGUUGAUUUAA